rnacentral:lncRNA from 1 species
UUCUUCAGGAUAUGAACAUAUUUCUACACAGUUAUUUUUGCUAAACAUCAGAGAAACAGCCAAAAAUAUCCUCCUGUUCUUGAACUUAAAUAUCACACACUUUUUCGUUGUGCAUAUAAUUCAAGAAUUUAGCACUUCAAGUAAAGUCAUUUGGCUAACAACCUUUUGUGGUACGAUUAAUUUCACAUCUGUAAAAGAAAAUAAAAGUUGUAAAUACACAAAAAAAAACACUCGCACUGUCAAAAUUACAGUAUAUGACAAUGUUAAUGUUUACAAAAUACAAGACGUUUUCGGAAAGUCAGUAAUGAAACUAAAAUUAGAAAUUAACUUUACCUGUGCUAUAUAUAGGUUUAAAAAUAACUUCGUGUUUAUCUGGGUCACGAUACAUAGAAUAGGUUUAUACAUUUUGAUAUAUUUAGAUAAAUCGUUUAAGAGAUUAACAAUUGAACUUCUUAAAUACUAAAUGAAAACAAAAAAACUUUCACAUUUGCUCACUUAGUUGUCAAGGUUUAGCGAGAAAGGAAAAACGCUUUAGAUUAUUCUCUUGGUUUCAACAACAGAAAUGCGAGUGCUCUAAUAGUAGGGGGAGAUAUAAAUGAUCUACUCUCAACUUUAGAUACAAAGAAUAAUAAACUACAUAAAAAGCCAGUCAAUUGAUAGACAUUUGGAGACAAUUAAAUAAAGAUAAAAAAAACCAACACACAUGGAAAAGGAAAAAUUCUACAAAUGAAGCUAGUAGAAUAGACUUUUUUAUAAUAUGCACACAAGCACGCAUAAACACUGUAUCUGCUGAUAACAGGCCUGCACAAAUUUCAUUCACAGACCACCUGGCUAUUUCGCUUAAAUUAUACAUUUAUGCAAAAGAUUGGGGUAAAGAAUAUUUUAAAACGAAUAAUAGUAUAUUGACUGAUACUCAGUAUAAUAAACUGAUAAAUAAGUUAAUUGAAAAAUAUGAGCAAAAUUUUAAUCUUACAAAUGUCCUAAAUCAGUGGGAUCUGCUAAAACUGACAUAAGAGAGUCUAUUAUCCAAUACUGUAAAUCAAAAACCAAAGAAAGGAAAAAUAAUAUUUUAAUAAUGAAAAAACAAACUCAAUAUUUUAAAUGAAAGAUUAGACAAAUUACCUGAUAGGAAAAAUAAUGAACUUUUUAAUCAAAUAAAAAAUUUAGAAAAAGUACUUUUUGUCCGUAGAGAAGAAUAGACAGGUUAAAAAAUCUAUUAAUACAUUAACGACCAAAACCGGUGAGGUUACUAUUGAUCAAAGUGAAAUUUUAGAUGUAAGUAAAGAGUUUUAUAAAUCUCUGUACAAAAGUAAAUGUCCCGAAACUGAAAUUUUAAAGACAUACAUAGAAAAUAGCCCCAUUGAUCAUUCUUUAAAUCCUUGUGAAAGCAAACAAGUGGAUAGUAAAUUAACCUUAGAAGAUUUAACAUCUUCUAUUUAUAAUAGAAACUAAAUAGACUCCCAGGGGAAAUGGCUUAACAGUUGAGUUUUAUCGACAAUUUUGGCCAAUUUAAAAGAUAUUGUAUUGAAUGUUUCUAACACAUUGUUAUGAUUAGAUGAAGACUUUAUCUGAGACGCCAAAUGAUUGGGAUAAUAUCAUUGAUCUUCAAAAAAAUGACGCCUUUGUCCUUAGAUAAUUACGUCGUCCAAUUAUUUUGUUGAAUACCUGAUGUAAAACUUAUAAUAUACCUUAGCAACAAAGACUAAAAACUCUACCCCUAUUAUAAAUAGAGUCAACAUGGUUACGGGUUUUUUAAAAAGCAAUAUAUAGGAUUUCAAACCGUAACGCAAAUUUAAGAUAUUAUAGAUUAUGCUGAAAACUUAAUAUUGAGUGGAGCUAUCUAUUUCUUGACUUUUAUAACGCGUUCGAUUCACUCGAAUGGGACUCUCAUGCUUUGAAUCAUUCAAAAAGAUUUGGAUUUAAUAAGUCUUAUCAAAAGUGGGUCAAAACACUUAUUAUGAUAUAAAGGAUUAUUUAAAAUAAUGGUAAGGAUUUCUUGAAACCUUCGGGAUUCAAUCGGGGAAUUCGGACAAGGUUGCACGUUAUUGUUUGUUUUAUCUUUGAAAUACUGGCUUGUACCAAUGUUGUAAAAUAAGAAAUAAUAUGAACUGAAAGGGAUAUGACAAAAUAACAUUGAUCAAAAAAACUCAUAGCCAUAAAAAUCUCACAGCUAGCAGA